rnacentral:rRNA from 1 species
GAUGAACGCUGGCGGCGUGCCUAAUACAUGCAAGUCGAGCGAACAGACGAGGAGCUUGCUCCUCUGACGUUAGCGGCGGACGGGUGAGUAACACGUGGAUAACCUACCUAUAAGACUGGGAUAACUUCGGGAAACCGGAGCUAAUACCGGAUAAGAUAUUGAACCGCAUGGUUCAAUAGUGAAAGACGGUUUUGCUGUCACUUAUAGAUGGAUCCGCGCCGCAUUAGCUAGUUGGUAAGGUAACGGCUUACCAAGGCUACGAUGCGUAGCCGACCUGAGAGGCUGAUCGGCCACCCUGGAACUGAGCCACGGUCCAUACUCCUACGGGAGGCAGCAGUAGGGAAUCUUCCGCAAUGGGCGAAAACCUGACGGAGCGGCGCCACGUGAGUGAUGAAGGUCUUCGGAUCGUAAAACUCUGUUAUUAGGGAAAAACCAAUGUGUAAGUAACUAUGCACGUCUUGACGGUACCUAAUCAGAAAGCCCCGGCUAACUACGUG